AGCGAACGCUGGCGGCAGGCUUAACACAUGCAAGUCGAGCGGGCACUUUCGGGUGUCAGCGGCGGACGGGUGAGUAACGCGUGGGAACGUGCCCUCUGGUUCGGAAUAACUCAGGGAAACUUGAGCUAAUACCGGAUACGCCCGUUUGGGGAAAGGCUUGCUGCCGGAGGAUCGGCCCGCGUCUGAUUAGCUAGUUGGUGAGGUAACGGCUCACCAAGGCGACGAUCAGUAGCUGGUCUGAGAGGAUGAUCAGCCACACUGGGACUGAGACACGGCCCAGACUCCUACGGGAGGCAGCAGUGGGGAAUAUUGGACAAUGGGCGCAAGCCUGAUCCAGCCAUGCCGCGUGAGUGAUGAAGGCCUUAGGGUUGUAAAGCUCUUUUAUCCGGGACGAUAAUGACGGUACCGGAGGAAUAAGCCCCGGCUAACUUCGUG
rnacentral:rRNA from 1 species